ensembl:misc_RNA
AGGGCUGGACUGGCAGCCCGGCAGCCUCUUCCAUAUGCCCACAGGUAGUGACAGUGCCAGCAUCCCUACACUGCCCCGGCCACGUGCCUCGCCGUGACUUGGAGAGGCCACCUCUAGAGGGGAGAGAAGAGUUGGAAUCCAUACCUUCCCUAUUAAGACUUCC